UAACGCGUGGGAAUCUGCCCUGGAGUGGGGGAUAACCCGGCGAAAGCCGGGCUAAUACCGCAUACGUCCUGAGGGAGAAAGAUUUAUCGCUCCAGGAGGGGCCCGCGUCGGAUUAGCUAGUUGGUGAGGUAACGGCUCACCAAGGCUAUGAUCCGUAGCUGGUCUGAGAGGAUGAUCAGCCACACUGGGACUGAGACACGGCCCAGACUCCUACGGGAGGCAGCAGUGGGGAAUAUUGGACAAUGGGGGCAACCCUGAUCCAGCAAUGCCGCGUGAGUGAUGAAGGCCUUAGGGUUGU
rnacentral:rRNA from 1 species